GACGUAGGGCGCAAGCGUUGUCCGGAUUUAUUGGGCGUAAAGAGCUCGUAGGCGGCCUGUCGCGUCGACCGUGAAAACCCGCAGCUCAACUGCGGGCUUGCGGUCGAUACGGGCAGGCUGGGGUUCGGUAGGGGAGACUGGAAUUCCUGGUGUAGCGGUGAAGUGCGCAGAUAUCAGGAGGAACACCCGUGGCGAAAGCGGCUCUCUGGAACGGUACUGACGCUGAGACGCGAAAGCGUGGGGAGCGAACAGG
rnacentral:rRNA from 1 species